rnacentral:rRNA from 1 species
CAAUAGCGUAUAUUAAAGUUGUUGCAGUUAAAAAGCUCGUAGUUGGAUUUCUGGUGGGAGCGAUCGGUCUGGCGCUUAGCGCGAGUACUUGCAUCGUCUCCGGCCAUCCUUGGGGAGUGUCUGUCUGGCAUUAGGUUGUCGGGCAGAGGAUCCUCAUCGUUUACUGUGAAAAAAUUAGAGUGUUCAAAGCAGGCUUAUGCCGUUGAAUAUAUUAGCAUGGAAUAAUAAGAUAGGACUUUGGUACUAUUUUGUUGGUUUGCGCACCAAAGUAAUGAUUAAUAGGGACAGUUGGGGGUAUUCGUAUUCCGUUGUCAGAGGUGAAAUUCUUGGAUUUACGGAAGACGAACUACUGCGAAAGCAUUUACCAAGGAUGUUUUCAUUAA